CACGUAGGGGGCAAGGGUUGUCCGGAUUUAUUGGGCGUAAAGAGCUCGUAGGCGGUCUGUCGCGUCGGGUGUGAAAAUCCAGGGCUUAACCCUGGACCUGCAUUCGAUACGGGCAGACUAGAGUUCGGUAGGGGAGACUGGAAUUCCUGGUGUAGCGGUGAAAUGCGCAGAUAUCAGGAGGAACACCGGUGGCGAAGGCGGGUCUCUGGGCCGAUACUGACGCUGAGGAGCGAAAGCGUGGGGAGCGAACAGG
rnacentral:rRNA from 1 species